UUGCAGUCGAGCGACUGAUUAGAAGCUUGCUUCUAUGACGUUAGCGGCGGACGGGUGAGUAACACGUGGGCAACCUGCCUGUAAGACUGGGAUAACUUCGGGAAACCGAAGCUAAUACCGGAUAGGAUCUUCUCCUUCAUGGGAGAUGAUUGAAAGAUGGUUUCGGCUAUCACUUACAGAUGGGCCCGCGGUGCAUUAGCUAGUUGGUGAGGUAACGGCUCACCAAGGCAACGAUGCAUAGCCGACCUGAGAGGGUGAUCGGCCACACUGGGACUGAGACACGGCCCAGACUCCUACGGGAGGCAGCAGUAGGGAAUCUUCCGCAAUGGACGAAAGUCUGACGGAGCAACGCCGCGUGAGUGAUGAAGGCUUUCGGGUCGUAAAACUCUGUUGUUAGG
rnacentral:rRNA from 2 species